AGCAGGGUUCAGGGUAAGGGAAUGUGAGCGGAUCCCAACAACAAUUGAUUUUUGGUCUUGAAAGACAUCGCAGCACCGCAGCACAGAAUAUUCCAAAAUUCUGGCGUCAGAUAAUUGAAAUGCUGCAAGAGUGAGUCACAGAGCCCUGCAUUUGAGGAAAAGUCAAUGAUGCACUUGGCAUUUCACCCUCUAGCAACGGUCUAGAAGCGUCCCGCUCCUGCCAGCCUUCCUAGGUCUGGUAUAGCCUCCUCCAUCUGAAGACUCUGUUCAGACCCAGCCUGGAGCACCAAAGUCAUCUUCCUUCCAAGGGCAUAAAAGUCCCCAGGCUCCUUUGGUGAAUCACAAGAUGAAGUGUUUUCAUAAAGAGUGGACUCUUUGUUAUAGUGUUAUUUCCACCUGGAAACCUCCUCCUAAAGACUCCUGGUCAGAGAGGGUCUUUUCUUCCUCCAUACUUUCCUCGCCCCUUGUGAAUACUGUGUGUUAUGGCUGCCUAUUAAGCUAAGUCUCUCUGCCCACUAGUUGGUGGGCUUAAGGACCGAGAUGUUCUUGCUCAGUGAUUCAUCCCAGGCGUUGGGCUGUCACUGAACACCUGUGAAACGAAUGAGCAGCAGAAUGGAAAAUCGAAGGAUGAGGAUGUAGACUGCAAAAGUGACAGGACUCUGGAAAGAAGAGGCAAAGAUCAGCCUCAGACCUCCCUGCGGGUACACAAAGGCCUGCUUUUGUGUUUUGAAACCAUUCUACCAUCUUCUGGUUUUGUGUCCUUGGUGUCUGCUUCAAGGACAUGCUUUAUUGAAACCUGCUUUAUUCAAGCUUCAUUUUUUAGUUUGGGUUUUAUCGGGAAUCAGCUAUCUUUAGGAGAUACAUUCUAAAAAGUGUUCAGGCACAAACACCUGAAUAGAAAUAAGAAUUAAAGGUAUUGAAAGCUGGUUUUGAUGGACAUGAGAUGGAUACUGUGAAACCUAUAGUCCCCCCGGGAGGGGUGUGGGUGAAGGGGCUCCCUGUAAGGGAGUGAACCGCUUUCUUCCACUCCAUGGCCAAUGCAAAACUGCAUUCUUCACCAUUUCACAGAGGAUUGGCCUUGACACUGCCUAUCUCUUAAAUUACCCUCAAGUUGAGGGGAGAUAGCAAAUCUCUACGCGUGAUUAAGAACCUUUUAAAAGGGCAAAGUUCAGAGGGAACAAAAAUUUCCUGCACAAAACCAUAAACAAUUACAGUCCUUCGGCCUUCUUUAUUCCCGAUUGGUAAUCAGCUCCUUGCCCAAGGAUAUAAGGUGUGAUAUUUGUGCACAUGCUAAUCAAACUGUUCCAAAAGUCAGACUCACACAAGACUUAUCCUUCCACAAAGUAAACACAAGCCGCCGUUAUUGUUUAUCACCUCAACUAUAAAGAGCUCUAAGUCAAGUACUAUUGAUCCAAGUAGAAGAGAUAAAACCUGAAGGACGCAGCGUGUGUUGUUCUUUUACUUGCGGCCACUUCCGUCUCUCGAGUUUCACAUUUCACAGGAUCAUAAAAUGCACCACGCGGUGGUCCACGUGAACACAGCUGCCGCCGACCCUGCCAGUUACAACAGCGUCUGAGAGGCUGAGGGUGACGAGUGGGUACAGUAUUGACACUGUAAAAAAAGCACAGGCAGUGGAGCCAGAAAGGUCUAUUUCUGCAAGUUUUACUAGAGUGCUAUUACCUCUUUUACACUCUGGUUCCUGUCUACUGCCAAGAUCUUCAUAUAUUUUGAAGUUUUUACUUAGGUGCAUACAAAUUUAGGAUUGUUAUUUCUUCUUGUUGAACUGAAUCUUUUAUCAUUAUUUUUUUUAAAGUUCCUCAUGAUACUUCUAGCCUUCAAGUCAAUUCUAUCUCUUGAGACUCAUAUGGCCACAUCACUCUCUUUUGGUAUGGUAUUCUUGGGGUACAGUGUUUCCUUCUUUUGACUUCCAACUUCUAACUUCGUUUUAAUUCUAAGAGUGUUUCAUUAGCAACAUAUCACUGGAUUUUUAAAAAUCGAGGCGGACAGGUUUUGUUAUUGAACUGUAAAUGAAUCAUCCAUUUACAUUUGACACAAUUACUAGUAAAUUGGGGCUUCUGUUUGCAUCUUCAUAUUUGUUUUCUACUGGUCCUACCUUUUUGUCCUUUAUUCCUCUUUUCCUACCUUCCUUUGGAUUCAUUGUGUCAUAUAAAAAAUGAUUGCAUUUUAUCUCCACUAUUUUUUGGAGGAAUUACCUCUACCCUUCAGAAUUUCUCUCUUUAGCCUCCUACCUCAGAAAGCAUCAAAAUACAGCAAACGUCUUGAGAGGAAAGCCUGUUGGAUGCUUGAUGCAGGUUCCUUUUUCUACAGGGACUUUGUGUACUAAGUAUCUCAAGACUACAGUCUUAGGUUCCAAACUUUCCCAACGCUCAGCUCAGGGGCCCAGGGCUCCUCCAGGUCCCAAUAUGCUCUAUGAGCCCAUGCGAAUGUCAAACUUCUGCAGGUUUCUCUUUCCCCCACUGGUGGCCACUGACCCAGGCCAAGUCCAAUCCUUAGCAUUUGUCCAGAAUUGGUAAACAGCCUCAGGGAAGGAAAUUAUGGGCAAUCUCGGCUCACCUGAGAAAGACUUCUCUCUGUAGUUCUAGCUCAGAGAAUGAUCUUUGCUUCCCCAGAUUGCUAAUGUACUUAAAAUUAUGAUUUUGGGGGUGACAUCAUUUUAAUUUUUUUCUAGUCAGUUUAGUAGGAGCAAUGGCCUACUACUACCUCCCUAGAAAUGGAAUUCCCCUUUAUCAUUAUAAUUAUACAUCUGAGAUGCAGAGGCAUAUGUAAGUAGGCAGGGCUGGAUUCAGAGUGCUUGGUGUGAAUUCCUGUUCUGCCAUGUAGGCUUCACUGGGCCUUGGGAAAGUCAUUUAACCACUGGGCCUCUAUUUCUUCUCUUCUAAGUGAAAAUAAUGGUGGAACUCAUCCCAGAGGGUCAUUAUGAGGAUCUGCAUAAUGAGUGGUGUAAUAUUUCACAUGAUGCUUUGUACAUAAUAAGUGAUCACAUUGUUAGCUAUUAUUAGAUUGUAUUGAUUGUAUUAGUUAGGAGCCCAGAAAUCACUGAUUUUAAAUCAGAUACUGCUUAGGAAUCGUGUGGCUUUGGAUGACUUAUUUCAUUUCUUUGUGGCUCCAUUGCAUCAUUGUGAAACACUGGACUAGUAAUAAUAUCUCAUAAGGGCUUAAUUUCUAAUUUUGUAGAGGCUCAGGUUUGAAUCAUGGGAGUUGUGAGCCAGGAACAUCAAUCAUUGAGAUCACAAUGGUUCUCAGAUGCUGGUUUCCAAAGCAGUUCAUGACCAACACCCAUGUCACGGGUCUAAAGCUUAGCUAAGGUCUCAGAUAAAUUUGUAACUGAACUGCGUGAAUAGCAUUCAGGGCAUUGUUCUCAUGUUCAUCACAUGAAAAAAGACUUCAAACAAUGGUGUUCCAGAGUAAGCUGAGUAUUCUAGUUCUACCGUAAGUGAUAGUAUUGAAUAUAGAUGCUCAAUUUUAAAUUAGCAUCAAAAAAAUUAUAUACUCUUUAAUCCUAUCAUCUGUCAAAGCAUGCUGGGGGUUUUCUAUAUUUUCAAAUAAUUUUAUUAGUUUACCAAUUGUAUUUUGAGAAACACUGUCUUUUAUUCUAAGAUUAUGUUCUUUCAACUUUUCUUCUUAAUUACUACAGUUAUUGCUUUCUGAAAUGAUGUUGGAUUGUUGUGUUGGCUUAUUUUAGAUGAUUUUAUUUAGCUACAAUAAAAUCCUUUUGAAUUUAGGAUAGUCUCUUAGUUAAACAAACCAACAAACAAAACUUUACUCAGCUAUAAAAUCCAGAAGUCUGAGAACCGCUCACUUGGGUAUAUCAUAAUUCAGACUCUUCCCAAUCUUUCUUUAGCUUUUCUCAACUUCAGAUAUGUUGUAUAACACUUGCCAAAUAUCUACAAGUCAUGGAUAUAUCAAUUUGUCAUUUGUACUCACUGCAUUUUAUGAAAGAAAUUAUGUGUGAGUGGUAUUCAUAGUUUCAGGAAUUUUCAGAAAUCAGAGCUAUAUUAAACUUGAGUUCCAAGGAUUCAUUUCUGAACUUUUAAAUAUCAGCUCUCACAUUGUCAACAUUCUAAAUCUUUUUAACAAAUGGGAGAAACUGAGGCACGGAAGUUUUGAACAAUUUGCUUCAACUUGCAUGAUCAGUGUUGGAGUCUGAUAAAGCAGCCAAUUCCAUGAAUACCUAAUGUUUUCCAGGCAAAUAUGGUCCCCUUUCUGUUUUCCAAGCAGGGCAAAUAUAAAAGAAGAUAAUAAAUCUCCUCCCCUUUGGCACACUUCUCCUCUCCCCAGAAACUAUGUCACAAGACUGCGCAGUUCCUUAUUGACUCCUGAAUCCAAAUCAUGGUCCUGCUCCACCUCUUGGCUGGGAGGAGACCAGCCACUCUCCUGCCUUUCUGGAGGCUGCCAGUCAAAGGUCCAGGUUCCAGCACCUGGUUCCUACUGAUGGUUCCAGGAGGUGCACACAGGACAUUCUGUCAGGCUUGCCCUGCAUCUCAAUGGCCUUCUAUUUUUUUCUGUCAUCAGCAGAGACUGUUCAUCUGGUUCUCACAUACUUUGUGGUUUUUCUCCUGUAGAACUUGGAGCCAUGGUAAUAAAGUCAGUUUUCAAGGAA